rnacentral:rRNA from 1 species
CCUACGGGAGGCAGCAGUGAGGAAUAUUGGUCAAUGGACGCAAGUCUGAACCAGCCAUGCCGCGUGCAGGAAGACGGCCCUAUGAGUUGUAAACUGCUUUUGUACGAGGGUAAACUCAGAUACGUGUAUCUGACUGAAAGUACCGUACGAAUAAGGAUCGGCUAACUCCGUGCCAGCAGCCGCGGUAAUACGGAGGAUUCAAGCGUUAUCCGGAUUUAUUGGGUUUAAAGGGUGCGUAGGCGGUCGGAUAAGUUAGAGGUGAAAUCCCGAGGCUCAACUUCGGAAUUGCCUCUGAUACUGUUCGGCUAGAGAGUAGCUGCGGUAGGCGGAAUGUAUGGUGUAGCGGUGAAAUGCUUAGAGAUCAUACAGAACACCGAUUGCGAAGGCAGCUUACCAUGCUACUUCUGACGUUGAGGCACGAAAGCGUGGGGAGCAAACAGGAUUAGAUACCCCAGUAGUC